rfam:Fukomys damarensis contig89849, whole genome shotgun sequence.
CCAAAGGCUCUUUUCAGAGCCACCCACAAACACCCUGAAGAUCUGU